AGCUUUUUAAAACGACAGAUGUUUCAAAGGCUGUUACAAUAUAAUAUAAGCUGUUUUUUAGGGGAAAAAAACUAUGGAUAUGGGUUUUGGGUGGUGGUGUGGAUAAUGAUAAUAUGUUAAGUUUGCUAUAACUAUUGCUAUUAGGUAUUAAGUACUAAGCAGUGGGCACUAAGUGCUAGUUAUUGUUAUUAACAAGGUUCGCCGUCUCAAUACCGCACCUCGUACCGGUGCCACACUAGCAUAAUGUCGGUAUGGUAUGGUACAGAAUCUUUUUGGCAUACUGAGUGUCAGUGUGCCACCUGUAGCGACUACUGGUACCGAACUGGUGUGGUACGGUAUGCUCUGUACUGCUCGGUUUAGGCCGGUAUAAUGUACCAUGGUUAUUAAUAUUAAUAGUAUUAUUAUUUAUGCACAAAAUUACGGUCAUUUUCAUUGUUUUAAUGUACUUCAUGUAAUGUUAUAUAAAGGUUCAAAAGAAUACCCUCUACAUAUGCACUCGCAUAUUUGGCCUGCAUACCACAUAUUAGCUAUAUGGUCCCUUGACUGACAGCAUAUUGCGGCCACCUUUUAGAACAAUGAUAUUUAUCUGUACUACGUCUACUUGACAACUAAAUAUCUCUACUAGGGAUUGUAAACCAUUUUGAUGUCUAUCAGUUAAUGACACAUGAGUGUUGAUUCUUGAAUAAGAGUCAGAUCGUGAUUAAUAUAUUUGGCCAUGUCUUCGUGAUGCUGAUAGGUCAUUUAUACUUUUGAAACCAUGUUUCUUGUUGAUUGACUUGUGAGCCAGCAGUUCCCCUCCC
rnacentral:lncRNA from 1 species